AUACGUAGGGGGCGAGCGUUGUCCGGAAUGAUUGGGCGUAAAGGGCGCGUAGGCGGCCCGGUAAGUCUGGAGUGAAAGUCCUGUUUUUAAGAUGGGAAUUGCUUUGGAUACUGUCGGGCUUGCGUGCAGGAGAGGUAAGUGGAAUUCCCAGUGUAGCGGGGAAAUGCGUAGAGAUUGGGAGGAACACCAGUGGCGAAGGCGACUUACUGGACUGUAACUGACGCUGAGGCGCGAAAGUGUGGGGAGCAAACAGGAUUAGAUACCCUGGUAGUCCACACUGUAAACGAUGAAUGCUAGGUGUAGGGGGUAUCGACCCCUUCUGUGCCGCAGUCAACACAAUAAGCAUUCCGCCUGGGGAGUACGGCCGCAAGGUUGAAACUCAAAUGAAUUGACGGGG
rnacentral:rRNA from 1 species